rnacentral:tRNA from 1 species
AGUUAAUAAGCUAAAUUUAAGCAAUUGUUUUGAAAACAAAAGAUAGAAAUUAAAAAUUUCUAUUAACUU